rnacentral:rRNA from 1 species
AAUUCAAUAGCCGCAACUCGUGCUAAGGUAGCAUAAUCAUUUGUCUUUUAAAUGAAGACUAGAACAAAAGAUUUAACAUUUAAAUCUAUAUAUUAAAUUUAUAAAUUCAACUUCUUUUAAAUGUAAAAAAACAUUUAUUUAUUAGAAAGACGACAAGACCCUGUUGAACUUAACUUAAGUUAAACUGGGGCAGUAAAUUAAUUAAAAUUUUAAUUAAACAUCUGUUUACAAAAAUCUUUCAUAGUUAAAUAAUCCAGUUACCACAGGGAUAACAGCGCAAUUAUAUUCCAAAGCACUUAUAGUAAAUAUAGAUUACGACCUCGAUGUUGAAUUAAUUACCUAAAUUAAGCAAAGUUAAAAAAAGGAAGUCUGUUCGACUUUUAAAUAAUUACAUGAUUUGAGUUCAGACCGGUGUAAGCCAGGUCGGCUUCUAUCUUCUAAAUACCUUCUUACAGUACGAAAGGACCUAAGAACUUAAUUAAUAUUUAUUAAUUGGCAGAAAAAUGCAUUAGAAUUAGAAUCUAAUUAAACUUAU